rnacentral:lncRNA from 1 species
CGGAUUAAAUCGCAAUCAAAAUCUAAUUAAUAGGGAAGAAAUAAGAUUAAACUAAAGAGGAGGCCCGUUCUGCAACACGCGAAUUACAUGGGGGCCGAUUGGGAAAUAUCUUGCUUCCCCAAAACGCACCGUCUCAACAAGACCAGAUUAAAAACCGAAUGAAGUCUAAGGUAUUAAUCAAAUAAGAUAAAAAAAUAAAUUAAAAUAAUUAAAAGAGUAGAGGGUCCAAAUGCGCAAAUAAACCAUUGAGAUGAAACGCGCGGAUCCUUCCCUCGGGUCGGGUCAUCGCGCGAGUCAAAGGCCACUAAACGGCGCCGUUUUUGAAAACGUUUUAAGACCUAAAAAACCCUAAACCUAAAGCUAAGUGUUUCAUUUGAAAUUGCAGGGGAAAGGUGAACGCCGCCUCCAUCUUCCCUCACUCUCUGCCAUUUCAAAUUCUAGGCCUCCGCCCAUCCAACUCCGAUUCGCCCAGAGGAGAAGAAAGGCUUCAUCGGUGCACCCACAAAGGUAAACUCCUUCUCCUCUCCUCUCUUAUUUACUCUCUUUUUUACUUAAACGAAAUGAGA